AUUAUAUUAGCUAAUCUUAUAUUAUUGUGAACUGAAUGCAAAAAUCGUACAUUCAUUAAGUCAUCAAAACUCAUAAAUCAUACAUUUUCUUUUAAUAUCACUUUUUUUCUAAAUUGCUUUUCCUCUCAAAAUCUAAAAUCUGUAAAACAAAUGCCUUAAGAGACAAUAAAUUGCAGUUUAAGACCCAAACAUUAUCAGAACAACAUUUUGUAAUUCUUGACGGAUUUUGUUGGAAAAAAAUCAAUCUUGCCUUUUUUUUUUUUUUUUUCCUCCACUCUCUUUUCUCUCUAAAUGGGUCAGAGAUGAAACCUUAAUUUUCUCUCGCAUCCACCUCGUGUUCGCUUGCCAAGAAAGAUUGCACAACUAGCAAGAAAAACAAAAGGAAAUGAUCGAUAAGGAAGCUCGUUUGUGGAUUGUUGAAAUUCUAUUUUCUCACGUUGUCUCGAUUACCAAACAAAGGUUGAAUAAGAGCUUAAAGAAGAUGCAUUAGUUUCGGCCAAAGCUUUGAUGGGAGAAUCGGUCACCAUGCCUCCAUGUUGAUAGGAGAGUUUUCUUGUUUAUAUCUUUUGUGCUUUAUUGGUUAAUGCUUGCACAUUGAGGACAAUGUGUUGUUUAAGUUUGGGGAUAUGAAAAAUUGCUCCAAAAUUUGAAAAUUUUUUUUUGAAUUUUCCUUAAGUUUUGCCUUGGAAUUGAGCUUAAGUUUGAAUUAUCAUUAUGCUUUCUUUGAUUAGUUCUUCAUGAAGCCAAUGAUAAGUUAAGUGUAAAAUAUGAGAUGAUUAUAGCUUUGAGAAUGAAUAUAGCUUUAGGAAAACUUGUUAGCUAGACUUCAUCGUUAUAGCUCUAGGAAAGCAGCCACUGGACUUCAUCGUUAACUCAUUCUAUCCUUAUUAUGAUUUUGCUAUCUAGCAUUUGAUAUGUCUAUAUUGUUUAAGCUUUUCGUUAUCAUGGCUCCAAACCACAGUCCCGAUAAAUUAGUUUAGUGUAUUUGAGUUUUAAGGUCAAUUGAUCAUUUGCCCUUCUAUAAAGAGCUUAGGCAGUUGCUUUUGUUGGCAAAUUUGGCAAGUCACCUGCAGUCACUAGCUUUCUUAGUAAAUGUAAACAUUAUUUACUAGUUGACUAAAUGAUUUGAGCUGAUUUUGUCAGGAAUAGCAUUAAUUUUAGUACCGAGAAUCAGUUAUUAAACAUUUGCUUCCAUCAAAAUCUAGCAUCUAUAUAUUAGCUAAGGGAAGAAAUGCAGAUUGCUGAAAACUGGAGUUCAAAGUACAAAAGUGAAAAAAUAAAGCUGCACAAAUUGAAAUUCAAGAGGCAAGAAAAUUGUAAUAUUGCAAGCCAAAGAAUUAUCUUUUGAAUCCAUCUAUUAGAUUAAGCCCACUAUGCUCUUAAGAUUGGUCACUUGGUAGUUGGCAAGCCAAGUUGUUACAUCUUAAACGGUUUUCUUAUAGCCAGUAACUGAUGUAUGCUUGUGCUUAUUAACAAGGAACUUGUUGAUCUCAAAAGUUUCUAAACUCAACCAAACAGAGAAUUUUAUAUAAAAUAAAUAAAUAAUGAUUUUAUCUUUCACUCAUGCUGGUGCAGAAAGCUAAUCACUGCAGGUGAGUUGCUUAUUCCAUUUUCCACUCUUCAUUUUGCAAAUGUAGCAAAUCUCCACAUGUGCCAAACAUAGACAUCAACUCAGCUUCUGUACCAAUGUGCAGUAGAUAGGCAGUAACAAUAAGUAGAUUAAUGGAUAUACUAUUCAUAAGUUUUGCUACUCAGAACUAUAAGAAAAAUAAUAUGAUAGUGCCAAUUAUUUGCAACUAUAUAGGUACCAAAGGUAGAUUAUUUUCAUGAAAUGAUUUAUGGGAAUGGGAUUGAAUUAUGCACUGGAGGCUUUCAAGAUUCUUUCAUCACUAAUUGUCUAAGAUUGAUUGUUUUUCUUUUUAACAUUUUACUCAGGCAUUUGUCUUAAUUAUUUCUAUGUUUCUUUAAUAUUUCUUGGGAUGUAAAUUUACUUUAUCUGGUAUUUCUGUUUUGAAAAUUUCACUCAAUUAAUAAAAAAUGUUUCUUGUUCUAUUCAUCCAUUGGCUUUCCGAAUUUUAUCAUAUCUUGGGCCAGUACUAAGCAGAGUAUAACCUCUUAAUUUACUUUAAAUUAUUCUAUUCUCAUAAUGAUAGAGAUUUUAAAUGGUUUAUCUGUAAUGCAUCUUUUGAUUGCAAAUUUCUAGCCCCAACAGUAGCUCAAUGGACUAGUGAUUGACUCAUUAGAUUUGCUAACUAUGCUAUUGAAGGCAAGUGAUACAUGGAAGGAACAAUGUCAUUUUUACUUUUUUUAGUUGAGUUUAUAAAUUCUUUUUAAUAUUUAAAACAUUAUAUUUGUAUUACAUUGUUCUGCUAAUUACAGUUUGUGAUACUGUUGUAUAGAAUGCUCUUACUGAUAUGGUAAAAGUGGUAAAAGUAGCAUAUGAUGUUGGUUUUGAUGCUGUUAUCCAAAUAGUUAUUCAAAGUGAUGACCACAAUGAAAUGCAGGUAUAACUUUUACCUGAACAUUUCUUUCUUUAAAGGUUUCAGAUGCAUCGAGUUUAUUGGGAUCACUAUGUGCAAAUAAUUAAGGAAAGAUGAAAGCUUUGAGGAUGCAGCUACUACAUUAGGCUUGUUGAUAAUUGCUGAAGAUUAACAGAGUUAUGGAAUUGCUGGCAAUGAUAAUGCUGACAGUUUUUUUGGUCUUUUACCGACACUUAUAAGUAGCUGCAAAAGUGACUUUUCUUGUGGUGCAUGAAGAAAGAUUGUCCAUUGUGUCCGUGAUUGUGGUAAUCUAUGGUGAAAGAGAAGAUAUAGAGGCAAAAGCUUUGGGCAACAAAUCAAGCCAGAAUCCACAUGAACAAGGUUGACCAAAGUGUGAGGGUGAGUGUUGCUACAACAUAAGUCCAUAGCAUAAUCACAGAAGUUUCACCUUGACCAAGCUGAAAAAACUGGGUUAUGGUACCUGCCAAAGUUCAUUAGAGUAACAAAUUAGGAAUAUAUAUAUAUAUAUAAGAAAAACAGUUGUACAUCAAUAUGCCAGCUACUAAAAUUUCACUCGCCAUGAAAUUGUUGAUGCUUGAGAAAAACAUUUUAACUAGGGGUGUAAUCAAGUAAAAGGUGCGUUUGAC